rnacentral:rRNA from 1 species
CCUACGGGCGGCAGCAGUGAGGAAUAUUGGUCAAUGGGCGCGAGCCUGAACCAGCCAAGUAGCGUGAAGGAUGACUGCCCUACGGGUUGUAAACUUCUUUUAUCAAGGAAUAAAGUGAGGCACGUGUGCCUUUUUGUAUGUACUUUAUGAAUAAGGAUCGGCUAACUCCGUGCCAGCAGCCGCGGUAAUACGGAGGAUCCGAGCGUUAUCCGGAUUUAUUGGGUUUAAAGGGAGCGUAGGUGGGUUGUUAAGUCAGUUGUGAAAGGUUGGGGCUCAACCGUAAAAUUGCAAUUGAUACUGGCAGUCUUGAGUAGAGUGGAGGUAGGCGGAAUUCGUGGUGUAGCGGUGAAAUGCUUAGAUAUCACGCAGAACUCCGAUUGCGAAGGCAGCUUACUAAACUGCCACUGACAUUGAGGCACGAAAGUGUGGGUAUCAAACAGGAUUAGAUACCCGAGUAGUC